rnacentral:tRNA from 1 species
GAGGAUUAGCUCAGCUGGGAGAGCAUCUGCCUUACAAGCAGAGGGUCGGCGGUUCGAUCCCGUUAAUCAGAGGGUCGAAGGUUCGAGUCCUUCAUGGCUCACCA